rnacentral:rRNA from 1 species
UCCAGCUCCAAUAGCGUAUAUUAAAGUUGUUGCAGUUAAAAAGCUCGUAGUCGGAUUUCGGGUCGGGCCGAGCGGUCUGCCGAUGGGUAUGCACUGUUUGGCGCGGCCUUCUUUCCGGAGACCGCGGCUACUCUUAACUGAGCGGGCGUGGGAGACGGAUCGUUUACUUUGAAAAAAUCAGAGUGUUUCUAGCAGGCAGCUCGCUCUUGCAUAGGUUAGCAUGGGAUAAUUUAAUAGGACUCUGGUGCUAUUUUGUUGGUUUCGAACACCGGAGUAAUGAUUAAAAGGGGCAGUCAGGGGCACUCGUAUUCCGUCGAGAGAGGUGAAAUUCUCAGACCAAUGGAAGACGAACCACUGCGAAAGCAUUUGCCAGGGAUGUUUUCACUGAUCAAGAACGAAAGUUAGGGGAUCGAAGACGAUCAGAUACCGUCGUAGUCUUAACCAUAAACCAUGCCGACUAGGGAUUGGAGGGUGUUCGUUUCGACCUCUUCAGCACCUUACGGGAAACUAAAGUCUUUGGGUUCCGGGGGGAGUAUGGUCGCAAGGCUGAAACUUAAAGGAAUUGACGGAAGGGCACCACCAGGAGUGGAGCCUGCGGCUUAAUUUGACUCAACACGGGGAAACUUACCAGGUCCAGACAUUGUUAGGAUUGACAGAUUGAGAGCUCUUUCUUGAUUCGAUGGGUGGUGGUGCAUGGCCGUUCUUAGUUGGUGGAGUGAUUUGUCUGGUUAAUUCCGUUAACGAACGAGACCGUAGCCUGCUAAAUAGUUCCGCGAACUUCUUGUUGGCGGUCGACUUCUUAGAGGGACAACUUGUGACCAACAAGUGGAAGUUUGCGGCAAUAAC